GCAGGUUAUAAUAGCAGCUUGUCUGUGUGUCUGUAUUGCUACUGCAUUCAGAAACAUGUUAGUUUUAUGCAUACAAUAACCUAAAAUAAGGUAACUUGCAUUUUAGGGGGUAAAAAGAAGCUCAUACUUUCACCGGUAGAAAGGAAUAGCUACUAUUUUACUUUUCUCCAUCUAAUGAUAUGCAUAUAUAACUUUGCUAUAUUUCAGUAGAUGAUAAAGUGAGAAGUGAGAUAGUUCUUGUUGGAAUCAUUCUCUCUUAAAUUGCAUUAAAUCUCAUUUAUUUUUCCUUCAGUUCAGUGCCUUUGCAAACCAUACUUAAAUCACCAACAAUUAAUAGAUAUGUCCAUAUCCAGUACUUAUUAUUGGGAAUGGGGAACUCAUCGGGAGUCCAGAGACUGAAAUCAUCCUCCCCCUAACCCCAAGGUUUAGGCAACAGAAUCACGUUUACUCCUUGGAUUAAUAUCACCUGAAGUACUUUAACAACAGAAACAACAAGAGCACCUGCAAGGACAACACAGAAUUAAAGUGACAAGAAUAUUAGCUUAAGAGGCAUUCUUCAUUUGAUUCAGGAUCAGCAUAUUCCAAAAUGAACUGAGAAGCAGUUGUUGGAUAUUUGAGACAUCAACUGAUGGAUAUGAAGGCCAACUAGAAAACUCAGAGAAAUACUGUCUGCAGGAGCAUGCUGAUUGUUCCACAGCUGGGCAGCAGUACUUCAUCAGCACACAGGAAUUAAAAGUAAGUGACAACACCUGAAUCUUCCUCUCCCUGCUGCUCAGCUUUGAAAGGAGAUCAGAUUAGGGGUGGCUGGUUUGUGGAGUCCUAGUGGGGUUGAAUAAAGCUAGUAACUGUUGAAACAGGAGGUUGGCUAAUAGUGGUGGUUAAAGCUAUCUUCUUCAGAAGAAUAAAGAUAUUCUCAUGAAUUUAGAGCAGUAUAAGUACUUUUUACAUUGGUUGGUGAAACUAGGGAAUUUUCUAAUAGAAAUAUCUGUGUAAAAACAGUGAGGGAAAAGAGGACAAAGGUAAGGCAUUGUGUUAUUUACAGCCUUUACCUCACCUGAAACUGAACAAAGCAUGCUCUUUACUCAGGUGAACUA
rnacentral:lncRNA from 1 species